CGUGUAGGCGGCUGGCUAAGUCUGGUGUGAAAGCCCGGGGCUCACCCCCGGAAGUGCGCUGGAAACUAGUCAGCUAGAGUAUGGGAGAGGGAAGUGGAAUUCCUGGUGUAGCGGUGAAAUGCGUAGAUAUCAGGAGGAACACCGGCGGCGAAGGCGGCUUCCUGGACCAAUACUGACGCUGAGACGCGCAAGCGUGGGGAGCAAACAGGAUUAGAUACCCUGGUAGUCC
rnacentral:rRNA from 1 species